rnacentral:tRNA from 1 species
CAGUAAAUAGUUUAAUUAAAAUUUUUGUUUUGGAGACUUAAGAUAUAUUUAUUUGUAUUUUACUGA